rnacentral:rRNA from 1 species
UACGAAGGGGGCUAGCGUUGCUCGGAAUCACUGGGCGUAAAGCGCACGUAGGCGGACUCUUAAGUCAGGGGUGAAAUCCUGGAGCUCAACUCCAGAACUGCCUUUGAUACUGGGAGUCUUGAGUUCGGGAGAGGUGAGUGGAACUGCGAGUGUAGAGGUGAAAUUCGUAGAUAUUCGCAAGAACACCAGUGGCGAAGGCGGCUCACUGGCCCGAUACUGACGCUGAGGUGCGAAAGCGUGGGUAGCAAACAGG